AACACUGGUGAACUAAACUGCUGGAAAAUUACAUGUGGCAAAGAACUGAGGCACACUUCUUAUCAACAGACUUCUAGGAAAUAUCCUUUGGCAAACAGAAUUUGACCACAAGCUCUUGAGGUUGGAAAAAGAUCUAUUCAAGACUUCAGAGAUGAUUAUGGGCUGAUCAUAUCUAUAAAUGUAGCCCAUGAAGACUUGGAUGUAGAAAGCCUGGCUAAGGUGGUCUGUGUUCCUGGCUCACAGAGGUCAUGAGAGAGAAAAUGCAGGUGCUUUUAACAUGCUUACUGUCUGGUAAUUUGCAACACGGUAGUUGAUAAUCAAUAGUACUAGAUAACUCAUAUACCUUUGUUUGAAGUCUCAUC
rnacentral:lncRNA from 1 species